rnacentral:rRNA from 1 species
UACAGAGGUGCCAAGCGUUAGGCGGAAUCACUGGGCUUAAAGCGCGUGUAGGUGGGUCGUUAAGUGUCCGCGUGAAAUCCCACGGCUCAACCGUGGAACUGCCGGGCAUACUGGCGAUCUUGAGGCAUUCAGGGGCGAGCGGAACAAGUGGUGGAGCGGUGAAAUGCGUAGAUAUCACUUGGAACGCCAUGGUGAAAACAGCUCUGGGGAAUGAUCUACACUGAGACG